GACGUGUAUUCUGUCAGGAAGCGGUAGUGAACGUGUUUUGCUGCUGAUUUCAGAAUGAGAGCGAAGUGGCGUAAGAAGCGUAUGCGAAGGUUGAAGCGCAAGCGCAGGAAGAUGCGUGCGAGGUCCAAGUAAUUUACCGUGUGAAACACAGUAUUGGAUCAACGCAUCUAUCAUCAUCGGAUGGGAUACGAAAAAGUAAAACGUUUGAAAUUUGGUUGUACAUUAAUGAACAAUAAACGUUUUAUUUGAUCACCUGUUUCAGUGGUGAUAGAUUA